AAUUUUUCACUGUGUUUGAUGGAAAAGUUCAAUAAAAGCUUUGAAUCAUCUGUUCUUAUAAGUUUAAUAUCUGAUACGUCCCCCUUCGGGGGACUACAUAUUAAAUAGAUUUUUCGAACGGGGAGUCGGUAAUGGGGCUUGCUCCGUCUGCUCCAUGCAUCGACCUGGUUUUGCAGUACUUCAGGAACGGUGCAACACUU